rnacentral:rRNA from 1 species
GACGAACGCUGGCGGCGUGCCUAACACAUGCAAGUCGAGCGAAUGAAGUUCCUUCGGGAACGGAUUUAGCGGCGGACGGGUGAGUAACACGUGGGCAACCUGCCUCAUAGAGGGGAAUAGCCUUCCGAAAGGGAGAUUAAUACCGCAUAAGAUUGUAGUACCGCAUGGUACAGCAAUUAAAGGAGCAAUCCGCUAUGAGAUGGGCCCGCGGCGCAUUAGCUAGUUGGUGAGGUAACGGCUCACCAAGGCGACGAUGCGUAGCCGACCUGAGAGGGUGAUCGGCCACAUUGGGACUGAGACACGGCCCAGACUCCUACGGGAGGCAGCAGUGGGGAAUAUUGCACAAUGGGGGAAACCCUGAUGCAGCAACGCCGCGUGAGUGAUGACGGCCUUCGGGUUGUAAAGCUCUGUCUUCAGGGACGAUAAUGACGGUACCUGAGGAGGAAGCCACGGCUAACUACGUGCCAGCCGCCGCAGUAA